rnacentral:rRNA from 1 species
UUGAACGCUGGCGGCAGGCCUAACACAUGCAAGUCGAGCGGUAGAGAGAAGCUUGCUUCUCUUGAGAGCGGCGGACGGGUGAGUAAUGCCUAGGAAUCUGCCUGGUAGUGGGGGAUAACGUUCGGAAACGGACGCUAAUACCGCAUACGUCCUACGGGAGAAAGCAGGGGACCUUCGGGCCUUGCGCUAUCAGAUGAGCCUAGGUCGGAUUAGCUAGUUGGUGGGGUAAUGGCUCACCAAGGCGACGAUCCGUAACUGGUCUGAGAGGAUGAUCAGUCACACUGGAACUGAGACACGGUCCAGACUCCUACGGGAGGCAGCAGUGGGGAAUAGUGGACAAUGGGCGAAAGCCUGAUCCAGCCAUGCCGCGUGUGUGAAGAAGGUCUUCGGAUUGUAAAGCACUUUAAGUUGGGAGGAAGGGCAGUAAAUUAAUACUUUGCUGUUUUGACGUUACCGACAGAAUAAGCACCGGCUAACUCUGUG